rnacentral:rRNA from 1 species
UGAGGAAUAUUGGGCAAUGGGCGCAAGCCUGACCCAGCCAUGCCGCGUGAAGGAUGAAUGCCCUAUGGGUUGUAAACUUCUUUUGUACGGGACGAAACUCCUGGUCGUGACCGGGAUUGACUGUACCGUACGAAUAAGCAUCGGCUAACUCCGUGCCAGCAGCCGCGGUAAUACGGAGGAUGCAAGCGUUAUCCGGAUUCAUUGGGUUUAAAGGGUGCGUAGGCGGAAUAAUAAGUCAGUGGUGAAAGCCUGCGGCUUAACCGUAGAAAUGCCAUUGAUACUGUUAUUCUUGAGUAUAGUUGAGGUGGGCGGAAUGUGUAAUGUAGCGGUGAAAUGCUUAGAUAUUACACAGAACACCAAUUGCGAAGGCAGCUCACUAAGCUGUUACUGACGCUGAGGCACGAAAGCUAGGGGCACGAACC